GAAAUGCGAUAAGUAAUGUGAAUUGCAGGAUUCGUGAAUCAUCAAAUGUUUGAACGCAUAUUGCACCAGGGAUUACUCUCUGGUAUGCCUGUUUGAGUGUCACCUUUUUAUUAUUCAUUUAUUCUCAUCAUCUGAGAACAAAUAAUAUUGGUUUUCACACAUGUGUGUGUCAACUUAAGAAUAGGUGUAUAUUCAGAAAUUUAUUCCAUAACGAUUUAUGUAUUAUGUGAGAAAAAUGAAUCAAAAAUGAUACAUUCACACUGAUAUUUGUUAUGAGAAUCUAAUUUCUAUAUGAAAGAACACUAUUAAAUAAUGGUGUAUUUUUUAACAUUCGGACCUCAAAUCAGGUAGCAUUACCCGCUGAAUUUAA
rnacentral:misc_RNA from 1 species